AUGUUUCUCUGCACUACAGGCCACAAGCAAGAACGUGGGAAAAGGGUCAGUGGAGGAAAUAAAGGGACAUGGAGAUAUAAUUUACCGUUAACGCUUGAAGACCCAGAGGUCCCUGUCACAUACAGUUUUAGAAGAAGCAUCUCCAACAAUGGCAAUGGCCAAAGCCUCUUCCAGUCUCUGCCAAAUUCCACCUGCAAGAAGCUCUCCAUGUCGUCUGAGUCCCCCAGGAGCUGCCCACCCAGCCACGACACUGAGGAGAAGGAGCAGGCAGAGGCAAACGAGGCUCGCGGUGGGUCGUGACUUGCGCACGGCCACACAGCUGCCGAGAACAAGACAGGGCGAACCAGGAAGUCAGACAGCAGGCUGUCUACGCAGAACCUCUUCAUCAGUAUGGCAUGCUGCCCUCUAACAUGCUGCCGACAACGUCUAGCUUCGUCUUAGCACACAGGAGGCCCAUGAAGCAACCUUCUCAUUAAUCUCUCCACUCUCUCGUCCAACAGGGAAAAGUGAGGCCCAUUUCAGGGAGUAGAGAGGUUUCAGAUGAUGACUGACAGAAUUUUAGAGUCAGCCUGGCCCGGGAGAAAUUGCAAAGUCUCUAGAGUCCGGCAGUCAUCCACACCUCAGCCCACCUACUUUCUGUGGGGGAGUCAGUUGUGAGGUCUUAAUAAGAGACCAAUGUAUGCAAAGCACCUGACACAUAGUAGGUAUUAAAUAAUAGCAAUAGCAAUAACCACAUUUAUACAGGGCUGUUGAUGUGCCAGGCAGCAUUCUGAGCCCAUCCUUAAUGUUAACUCCUAAUCCUCACAUUGACUCUAAGAGGCAAUAGCAAUAUUCUCCCAUUCGACAGAUGAGGAAACUGAGGCACAAAAAUGAUUAAGAAACUUGCAUAGUGUCACACAGUAGGGGGUGGGGUGGCUAGGAUUUGAACCCUAACCCAGAGACAGGGCCCUAAACCAGUGUAUUAUAUUGCGCCCUUUUGCAAGCUGUUCCCCAGCCCUCACCCCCCCGUAAAACAGAACUAUAGUCACGCGCCGCAGAAGGAUACUUCAGUCAAUGGCAGACCACACGGACAACGGUGGUCCUCUAAUAUCAGUACCAUGCAAGCUGGUGUGCAGUGGGCUACACCAUCUAGGUUUGUGUAAGUACACUCUUGUGUUCACACAACGAUGAAAUCGCCUAACGACGCAUUUCUCAGACUGUGUCCCCAUGGUUGAGCGGCGCGUGACUGUGACUGCCUUUUAUUUCCCCUAAAACCAACUUUAGUGAAUUUCAGAAAGGACCCUGGGCCUAGCAUCACCUAAGAAAUGUAUUCCUACCUUCCCCUCCCAGCCUCACCUCCCCUGGCUGAGGACCUCCUGGUGGCCCGUCCCUGCCCCACCUCCCCAGCCACACAGACAAUUCUCGGGUCCGUGGCCUGCGUUCCAUUUAGACGCUCUUCUCAGCCGCAGCUGGUGCAGAUGCUUCACUGAGUGAGAAGCAGGGACAAGUUUACCUCGAACGUCAAAGGACAAGACGGAUGGGUGCCCCUCAAGGUUCUCUCGUGCCCCCCAGCAACUGGCCACCCACCAGCCGCCGGCCGCCCCAACCCCUGUGGGCUCCGCCAGGCUGCUGACUCUCUCACUCCCCUGGUCAUCACUUUCUCAUUUCUCACCCUGGGAGGGGAGAAAGUUCGCGUUGGGUGGGGGAUAAACUUCCACACUGAUGUCUCCGUCAGUCAAGGCCUGUGCCCACCCCGAGGACCGGGGAAGUUCAAAUUUGUUGAGUGUCUUCUGAGAGAAGAUGCUGGGUGUGGUCUGCUGCACUCCGAGUUCCCAUCCACAGCAUGGGGAUGCCUAGCGAACAGUGAUGUUGGGAAUGAGACCAAAUAGAGAGGUUUUAUGAAGAAGGGACAGCCUUUGUCCCGCCUCUCCUCAGAUAAUAAGCUUCUCAUUGUGCCUUUUUUAGGACUGACCCUACAUCAGAGCUCCAAACAUCAAAACCAAGUGUAAAGAAAGCCUGGGGGACCCUCUCCAGGGCAGCACGAUGCGUUGGAAAGAGGCCUGGCCUGGACCUGUCCCAGCUCAGCCUGCCACUUGCCGUGUAACUGGGCAAGGCCCCGCUCUACCUGUAAAUAUGACAGCACUAAUAAUAACAGUAGCGAAGGCUUCUGCAGCUCUUGCUAUGUGCUAGGCACUGUUCCAAGGGCUUUCAUAUUUUAACUCAUUAAAUAAAAUAAAUAAAAGAGGGUGAAGCCCGGAUCUU
rnacentral:lncRNA from 1 species